GAGUUUGACCCUGGCUCAUGAUGAACGCUAGCUACAGGCUUAACACAUGCAAGUCGAGGGGCAGCAUUUUAGUUUGCUUGCAAACUAAAGAUGGCGACCGGCGCACGGGUGAGUAACACGUAUCCAACCUGCCGAUAACUCGGGGAUAGCCUUUCGAAAGAAAGAUUAAUAUCCGAUAGUAUAUUAAAACCGCAUGGUUUUACUAUUAAAGAAUUUCGGUUAUCGAUGGGGAUGCGUUCCAUUAGUUUGUUGGCGGGGUAACGGCCCACCAAGACUACGAUGGAUAGGGGUUCUGAGAGGAAGGUCCCCCACAUUGGAACUGAGACACGGUCCAAACUCCUACGGGAGGCAGCAGUGAGGAAUAUUGGUCAAUGGACGAGAGUCUGAACCAGCCAAGUAGCGUGAAGGAUGACUGCCCUAUGGGUUGUAAACUUCUUUUAUAUGGGAAUAAAGUAUUCCACGUGUGGGAUUUUGUAUGUACCAUAUGAAUAAGGAUCGGCUAACUCCGUGCCAGCAGCCGCGGUAAUACGGAGGAUCCGAGCGUUAUCCGGAUUUAUUGGGUUUAAAGGGAGCGUAGGUGGAUUGUUAAGUCAGUUGUGAAAGUUUGCGGCUCAACCGUAAAAUUGCAGUUGAAACUGGCAGUCUUGAGUACAGUAGAGGUGGGCGGAAUUCGUGGUGUAGCGGUGAAAUGCUUAGAUAUCACGAAGAACUCCGAUUGCGAAGGCAGCUCACUAGACUGCAACUGACACUGAUGCUCGAAAGUGUGGGUAUCANACAGGAUUAGAUACCCUGGUAGUCCACACAGUAAACGAUGAAUACUCGCUGUUUGCGAUAUACAGUAAGCGGCCAAGCGAAAGCAUUAAGUAUUCCACCUGGGGAGUACGCCGGCAACGGUGAAACUCAAAGGAAUUGACGGGGGCCCGCACAAGCGGAGGAACAUGUGGUUUAAUUCGAUGAUACGCGAGGAACCUUACCCGGGCUUAAAUUGCAUUUGAAUAAUCUGGAAACAGGUUAGCCGCAAGGCAAAUGUGAAGGUGCUGCAUGGUUGUCGUCAGCUCGUGCCGUGAGGUGUCGGCUUAAGUGCCAUAACGAGCGCAACCCUUAUCUUUAGUUACUAACAGGUCAUGCUGAGGACUCUAGAGAGACUGCCGUCGUAAGAUGUGAGGAAGGUGGGGAUGACGUCAAAUCAGCACGGCCCUUACGUCCGGGGCUACACACGUGUUACAAUGGGGGGUACAGAAGGCAGCUACCUGGUGACAGGAUGCUAAUCCCACCAACCUCUCUCAAAUCUGCUCGAGGUCUGCAACCCGACUUCGUGAAGCUGGAUUCGCUAGUAAUCGCGCAUCAGCCAUGGCGCGG
rnacentral:rRNA from 1 species